UUAUCGUUAUAAACCUGGUGCUUUCCAACUACUAUGGGAGGAUCCUCAUACUAUUCUCAUAUGUUAUGAUUCUUAUAUUAAAAAAAUGGAUAUAAGAACAUCCGAAUUUGUACGUACAUGGAAUUGUUCAUCCGAAAAUAACGAAAUAUUAACAUGUUUUACAACAGAUAAAAUAUUAACAUGUUUUACAACAGAUAAUCUAUACACUAUUAUGACAGGGACGACCAAUAAUCAAGUUCUUCUAUGGGAUCAGAGACAAAAUGCUUACAUUCAAGCGUAUACAACGUGUACACGGCGCAGUAUAAUUUCCAUAGAAUUUGAUAGCUCCCAUCUGUAUACUGUUACAGACAAGUAUUUAUGUCAAUAUGACUUUCAGGAAAGGUUUGGUUUUCG